GUAAAGAAUUCUCCCUCUCGGAGCCUGGAAAUGGCACUUUUUGGGGUGGGCAGCCACAGGGGAUGAAGGACAGGUGAUGAGGUAGUGUAGUGGAAACGCUAAAUCAGGGCUUGAAGCAGUGAUGGAGCACCUGGUGGGAAGGCAGGGCCAACCCAGGGGAGCUCAGGUGCAUGCAAUGCACUUGGGUGACCAGAAGGGGUGGAGCUAGGAUCCACCCCUGCCCAGCCCUCAUUUAAGGGUUGGCAGUAGAAGCAAGCUUGUCUUGCUGGAGUUCCCUGUCUACUUUUGGCCUUCUUAAACUGCAAAACUUGCCAGGGAAAAAGAAGCUUUGAACAUGAGGAGGUGUGGAAGAGAUGCAGCAGUGAUGGAUGUCACCUCUCCCCAGACCUGAAAGAUGAUGCUUGAGUUGUGAUGGAGAUCCUUUGCCUACUGGGGCCAUCGGAGAGCACUGGGACUGGUGCGCCCUGCACAUGUCCCCAGCACAUCCUGUGGCCCUGAUGUCCUUUCCUCCAAUGAAAUUCACCUUGGUCCAAGAGGAAUCCUUCCUGAUUUCCCGUCCAAUGGAUCUGGGGCUUUGGGCACAAUUCCUCAGGAGCUGCAGGGGAGUGUUUAAUUCGCAGACGCAUCCUGGUGGUCUGAUUGCAGGGUGUUGCGCCACGGUGAUGCUGUUGUUCCUGUAGUGAUCUGGGGGCAAUCCCAAAUUCCCCCACAAACCCCAAAAGGUUUCUCCUUCUUUGUCCUCUCCCUCUGCAGCCUGGGUACCUCCGAGCAUGGUCUUUUGUUGUUCUCAGUGCUGUUGUUCUUGAGCAGGUUUACAUUGCCCCGACAGAAGCUCUUACCAAGGAAGUCAUGUAAGGAACAGAGCAAAGGAAAAUCUAAUGCUGAAAAUAUUGAUCUGAGCAUUUUUCUGAGUCAAAACAGGCUGAGGCUGCUGCUCCCAGUGCCUGCAACACCAGCAAGAAGAGCAGGACCCCGAACACAGCCCCACAAGCCCUCGGUGGCAGAGGACCAGUCUAGUGCUGCUAACGGGAGUGAUGUGAGAAUAGAGGAGCGCUCCCAUCCCUGCUGUGCAGGAAAUGAUACCCAGGAUAUUCUACUUGGAUCCCUCCAGUCUUGGAGAAAACCAAUUUCCCUUGCACCAGCAAAAGCAGCUUUUAUUAACAGCAAUUUGAGCACUCCAGCAAAUCCCGGCAAGGCAUAAUUUCUCUGCAAACGGCGUGUCCGCAUCGGUACUGCCUCCACCCCUCCUCACUCUGAACCA
rnacentral:lncRNA from 1 species